UCCAAUGCCCCCUAGAUGUAAAAUUUAAAGCCAGCAUAUCCCAGUUAUAACUCUAUUUUCAUUUACAAUUAUUUUUAAAUCGAGAAAUGAGUAAAGUAUUAAGAAACCUUCGCAAGUAACGAUAAUUACAAGGCAAACUAGGGUCAAACCCAUCUCAACCCAUCCACCUAGUGAUCCAUCGGAUUUUCACGGAAAACCCUAAAAUCAAACGCGAUUUGUAAUCGUUUGCCACACCUCAAAACAUUCUCCUUUUUUCUUCUAAAUCUUCUCCAAAAUAUCUGCUCCUAUUUCGUCAUCUCUUGUCGCGAAACUCAGACAGCUAAAGACGCUUAUUCGGAGCAAACUAACCACUUUAACCACAACCAUCGAGAGGAAGUGAAAAUGGCGAAGAUACGAUGGACUAGGAAGAAGAGAACGAAACAACUGAAGGACAUAACUUCUCCAGUAAAAGAAGUUCCAGAGGUUGAGGUUGAGAUUCCGAAGUCAAUUGAGAAAGAGAACGAGGACGAGGCGAACUCUGCUGAAGAUGAGGCGAAGGAGAACGAAGACGAGGUGAAGGAGAACGAGGUGAACUCUGAUGCAGAUGAGGAGAACGAGAACAAGGUGAACCCUGUUGAAAAUGAAGAGAACGAGCAGGAGGCGAACUCGGUUGAUAAUGAAGUAGUAGAAAAUGAAGACGACGCAGUAGAAGAGGAAGAGAGCUCAAAGGAAGAAGAGGCAAAUGUGGAUGAAAAUGAAGUAGAAGAGAAUGAGGAGAACUCAGGAGAAGAGGAAGAGGAGACGAAUUCAGGUGAACAUGAAGUAGAAGAAGAAGAACAUGAAAACAUCAACUCUGAGAAUAAUCCUCCUGUUGAAGAUGUGUAGACCAAUGAAGAAGGAGAAAGAGAAGAAGGAAGUACCGGUCGAACUUCAAACGAGGAAAGUGAUUCCGUCGAUGUGGCGCUAAAACCAUUGGGCAUGUACUUCCCACCGUCUGAGUAUAGGAAGAAGAUCAAGAUAUCUACUAGGUGUUUUAUUACUGAUGUAAUGGAUACCCUAAAAGAACUAGACCCUCCGAUGACUACGGCGGAGAAGAGUUGGUUUGAGAAUCAUCUGCAGUUCAAACACAUAUUCCACAUGCCACAGGCUGGAAACCACAAGGUUAUGGGCAUGUGGAUACUCCUCCUCCGAACCGCACACAUUACAAAGGAAAAAGAGGCAUGGUUUGUCGUGAAUGGAUGUCCCAUUCGCUAUGGUAUUAGAGAACAUGCUUUGAUAUCUGGAUUGAACUGUCGAAACUAUCCAUUGAACUACAAGGUAACCAGAGGCACGAAGUUUGUGAGGAAAUGUUUUGGCGGUGGAAUAAUAAGAUAUCAAGACAUGAAAGCAAAAGUUCUUGAGGGAAUGGAACCUUCUCAUGAUAGGUUGAGGCUGUUGGUCUUGUAUUUCCUAUCGAGUGUUAUUUGUGGGCAGACAAAGACCGGUAAGGACGCCCCUUCCGUGGAGCCAUUCUUGCUGAGAGCAGUUGAUGAUCUCAACUUAUGUAAAACGUUCCCUUGGGGUAGAUUAUCCUUUGAUUACAUGUUGAAGGAGAUUUCACACACCAUGAGUCAUUUUAAAGGGGAGGUGAAAGAAGGUGUGAUAUUCCGGGUUUUUGUAUUCCAAUGGAGCUCCUAGCAUUUGAGGCCAUUACGAAAUUGGGGAACAAAUUCCGAGAGACCGCUGAAGACGUAGAUCCAACAUGUCCAACGAUGUGCCAAACGAAGUUUAAGAGAAGUUAAAUGAAGGGAUUUCCCCUAUCGAAAAUAAAUAAAGAACUUGGUGAUACUAAGGAAAUUGAGAACAUCUUGUCUGUUUCCGAAGAGGAACAAAUUCUACUAGCUCGGAUAACAAAACCAGAGGAUAUCAGUGAUAAUGAUGACUUGAUUGUCGAGAGUUGGAUGAAGAGGCUGGCUCGUGGAUAUGUUGAAAGGUUUGAAGAUAUGUUUGAGGAGGAUGUGGCUGCCCGACAAGCCCCUCCCCCUCAAAAUGGUGGAAACGAGACAGGAGCCACCACCAAUGAAGCAGAAGAGAACACGGUGAAGAUAAAUGAACUGUUAGACGUCUUUAACAGCUUCAAAGAAGAUAUGGGAGAGCGGAUGAAGAGGGUUGAGGAAAAGGUGGGAGAGUUUGACCUAAGACUCGCUGCCUCAGAAGAUUAUGUUCAAGAGCAGAUUGUGGCUAUGUAUGCGGCUAGGGAGGAAGACGACAACUCGCAGAGGCCAAAGAAGAGACCAAAGAGGGACUGAUGUAUUGCAUUUGGUGUUUGUUCUAAAACUUAUGUUGCUUUCGGGUUUGUACUAAAACUUAAACCUAUGUUGCUUUUGUUUUGUACUAAAACUUAAACCUAUUGUUGCUUUUGGUUUGUAUUGUUGCUAUUUGAUUUGUACUAUAACUUCUGAUGCUUUUGGUGUAGUAGGUGGAAGUAGUAUAACUAUGGAAAACUGGUAAAACUAUGUCAAAUUAGUAUAACUAGGUGUCAGGAAAACAAGUAAAUGCUCUCUCUCUCUCUCUCUCUUCUUACGUGUGUAAUAAAUAAGAGUAGAGACGAUCUCGUUCUUCUAUCUUCUUAACCUUUUCCACAUCCUCUCUCUGUUAUAUCAGAUCUCAUUUCUUCAUUUCUUCAUGCCUUUCUUCUUUUGUGAAAACUAAAAAGUGAAGAUGGAAGUGGGUUCAGGAUCGUCAAGGAGGAGCCGAAAUUCGGGUCGGAGACUGUGUUUCUGUGGCUUACCGGUGACGGUAGCACAAGCUUAGACUGACAAAAACCCCGGGCGGCGAUUUUAUGGCUGUCAACGUUAUAAGCUUGGAGACCAUUGCAAGUACUUCUCUUGUUAUGAUGAAGAGGAAGGUACAAAAUGGCAAAAAAGAGCUUUGCUUGAAGCCCGUGAUGAAAUCCGAGAGAAGGAUAGAGUGACUGAGCAGUUACAGAAGACCAUUUCACAAAUGAGAAGCGACUUGGCCAAUAAGCAAAAUGUGACAGAGGAUGACGAAAAUGAAAUUGUUAGAAAGUUUGAAGCAUUCUAUGUUUAAGUGUUCUGGAGAGCUUCUGUUUUGGGACCUAUGUAUGAUAAUUUGCUUAAGUGUUUUGGAACCUAUGUAUGAUAUGCCUAAGUGUUUUUGGAACCUAUGUAUGAUAUGUUUAAGUGUUUUGGAUCGUCUUGGUAUUACUACGGGAAACUAUGGUAUUACUACGGAAAACAAGUAUAACAAAGGAUAACUAGCAGA